ensembl:lncRNA TEX41 testis expressed 41
GAUUCUUAGGAAGACCCUGGCCUCCAUCUUGAAAACGGAAAAUAAAAACAGCAGACCUAUGAAGGUCGAAGGGGAAGAAAAGCUGUAUCGAUUGUUGAGAUCUGGCGACUUGUUUAAAUUUCAUCAGCCUCACUUCUAUGAACUCUCAGGCCUCACGUGUACCAGCUCUCUGCUCUCCUUUGCCUUGGGACGUUCCAUCCCUGGAAGUUUCCCUGCCCACAUCUUUGUAGAGAGUCCAUUCUCCAAGCUUCAGUGUGUCAUCUGUGAGGACCGUGACCCACCUGGUACAUCGCCUCAGGGCAUUCAUUUCAGGCUCCUUCUAAAUGGCCAAGCGCCCAUUGCUAGUUGCUUCCUGGAGGAAUUUCCCAAAAUAAAAGUGCCUAUCCACAAAUCCUUCUCCUGAGGCUGCUUUUUUGGAGAAUUCAAGUUAAGGAAGAUUUCUAUUGGAUCAGUAUAUGUACAUGAAGUUCACUUUACUCUUCAUUCCCAGUGAAAAUGCUUUGGCAAUUUUGAGUACAAUUUAAAUAUUUUCUUCAUUAUUUUGCAUUUCAGUUUUAGACAUGCUUUAUCUUUAUUCUGUUAUAAAACUUUAAUUAAGACUUCCAACUCUUAUAUACUACCUCAGAUAUCUUCUAGCUUUUAUACCAGAGAGAUGAUAAUCUGUAAAUAAAUAUUUAAAUGUACUAGAAAUUCAGCUAUUAAAGGACUAUUAUGAAGAC